CACGCCCAAUCUCCUGGCCGUUGCCGCGCCAACGCCUGCUCUCUCGGCCUUUGCCGCGCCCACGCCCGAUCUCCCUGACGGCCCCGGUACCACCGCCUGUGCCUGACCGAGAGCCGACCGCCUCCGACCGGUCGGCGCCCCGAUGCAGACCGCCGCCUCCACUCCCGGCCGCCGCCCACCACGCUCCAACAGGCUGCCGCCGCCGCUACCAGGGCAGGAGGAUCACCAUGACCAUAUAUAUGUAAUAUGUCCCUAUUCUCUUGUACACAUCAGACAUCAUGAUCCAAAGUGAGGAUUUGAAUGCCUGUUAAGAUCUUAGGUUCCCUAAAAGCUUAAGGAGAAAUGGAACUCUACCAAGCAGCAGCGAUACCCACUGAUGUUCUAUAGCGUCAGUGGCAGAAUCACCUAUCAAUGAUGGUCCAUAGAGGCCAUGGCGUUGAUGACACAACCGUCAUUUUGGACAGGUCAAGCUUCACUGUUUCUUCAGCUGAUUUUACCUCAAACUUUUGUUCUAACAAUUUAUACCUUAGAGGUUGGUACUGAAUAUUCACUCUAGAUGAAUUAGUUCCUGAUCAUUACGUACUUUGAAUGCACAUUUGGUAUUAAAUUUAUAUUCAAAGUGGGAUUUGAUUAGGAUAGAUACUUGUAUGAGCUAGGCUCUCAUUUGGUGCAAUUGAAUGAAGCAUAUGGUUUGCCUAUUGGCAUUUCUUCACAUGUAUAGGAUUUUCUAUGUAUUUUCGAUUGUC